rnacentral:rRNA from 1 species
GAUGAACGCUAGCGGCAGGCCUAAUACAUGCAAGUCGAACGGUGGUAGCAAUACCAUAGUGGCGCACGGGUGCGUAACGCGUAACCAACCUACCCACAACUGGGGGAUAGCCCGCCGAAAGGCGGAUUAAUACCGCAUAAUAUGAGAGAGCGGCAUCGCUAGCUUAUAAAAGAUUUAUUGGUUGUGGAUGGGGUUGCGUAGCAUUAGCUAGAUGGCGGGGUAACGGCCCACCAUGGCGACGAUGCUUAGGGGACCUGAGAGGGUGAUCCCCCACACUGGCACUGAGAUACGGGCCAGACUCCUACGGGAGGCAGCAGUAGGGAAUAUUGGGCAAUGGGCGAGAGCCUGACCCAGCCAUGCCGCGUGCCGGAUGAAGGCCUUCUGGGUUGUAAACGGCUUUUCUCAGGGAAGAAAAAGAGGAUGCGUCCUAAACUGACGGUACCUGAGGAAUAAGCACCGGCUAACUCCGUGCCAGCAGCCGCGGUAAUACGGAGGGUGCAAGCGUUGUCCGGAUUUAUUGGGUUUAAAGGGUGCGUAGGUGGCCCGUUAAGUCCGGGGUGAAAGCCCACAGCUCAACUGUGGAACUGCCCUGGAUACUGGCGGGCUUGAGAGUAGUCGAGGGUGGCGGAAUGGACGGUGUAGCGGUGAAAUGCAUAGAUACCGUCCAGAACCCCAAUUGCGUAGGCAGCUGCCUAGGCUACAUCUGACACUGAGGCACGAAAGCGUGGGGAGCGAACAGGAUUAGAUACCCUGGUAGUCCACGCCGUAAACGAUGGAUACUCGUUGCCAGCGAUAGACUGUUGGUGACUUAGCGAAAGCGGUAAGUAUCCCACCU